rnacentral:rRNA from 1 species
UACGUAGGGUGCAAGCGUUAAUCGGAAUUACUGGGCGUAAAGCGUGCGCAGGCGGUUUUGUAAGUCUGAUGUGAAAUCCCCGGGCUCAACCUGGGAAUUGCAUUGGAGACUGCAAGGCUAGAAUCUGGCAGAGGGGGGUAGAAUUCCACGUGUAGCAGUGAAAUGCGUAGAGAUGUGGAGGAACACCGAUGGCGAAGGCAGCCCCCUGGGUCAAGAUUGACGCUCAUGCACGAAAGCGUGGGGAGCAAACGAGGAUUACGAAAC